rnacentral:lncRNA from 1 species
UGCCAUCAAUUGAAUGCUUCAUUUGAUAAUGUGUAUGAUACAUGCAAGAUUUUUUCAUCAUCACGAUAUCUAUUAAUAGUAAAUGCUUUCUUUAUCUCCAUAAGCUAAUUCUCAUCUACCAAAGGUUCCAUAAUCUACUUGUUCGAUAGAAAUAAUUUGUUAAAUUCAACAAUAUUACUUUAUUACUCUGGCUGCUUUCUAUGUCCU